CCGGAUAUCUACAUCCGUCGUCUCCAGAUAUCUACAUCUCCAACAUGCCCCGAUCUGAGUGAGGCCACCCUGCUGUGUUGACCACAGGCCAAAAAAGGCCACUGAAGUCGACCUCCGAGCAGAGCCGCUCAGCUCGACCUAAGACAAUUAGCUCCAACUGUACGAGAGGUACACCCUACUUAGCACAUACAUCUCCAUAGACAUUUGGCU
rnacentral:lncRNA from 1 species